rnacentral:lncRNA from 1 species
UUACAAUUUGAAUGUAUAAAACAUUUAUAAGUUUUAAAAUACAUGCUAGCUUAAGUGACAAUCCUCAAUAAAGAAGCUAAAGAUGGGAUAUACUUAUAUAAGAAGGCCGAGCCCACCGGCACUUAGCAGCAUCCACAACAGAACAAAAUUAUAACCUGAAAAACAACAGGGAAUAAAAUCCUGAGUACACAAUUACUCAGCAAGACUUACCCGACUAAAGAAAAGACUCUCAAGGGUAUGCUGGUUUAUUGGGAAUCAAGGUAAGGCUCAUCAAAUUUCAAAGACUCGUUUUUGCAGAAAAGCAUACUAGUAGUGGAUCCUUAUGCCAAAAUUUUACUUCACAAGUUAAGUACUUUUCCUGAAUCUAGAUUUGCCUAAUCUAGAGCAUUCACUUGUCCUACACUAGCUUCCUUUUAUCAACUUUAGUUUCACUUGUUAUCUACGAUGCAGGGCAGUGAUCCAGUCUUCAUAUCCGAGAAGUAACGGCGAUCCGAAUCGAUUAAUACUCAGCUGAGGAUCUCCAACCACACGACAUAUGUAGCACUUAACCCUUGCAUAUGUCAACUCGCCACCGGGUUUCUCAAGACCAGAACGGGUUCACGCGACCCGAGAGUACAGCACUCCACCGUCCAGCCAUUGGCCUGGUUGGUACACGUUACUCUCGCCAUGGUGCCCGCCAUGUUUCCGAGAGUACAGCACCCCACCUUCCAGUCUCUUGCCACGGAGGGUACAAGCUACUCUCGCCAUCGCUCCACUUCCAGUGCGUGCGAGCUGUUCUGGUAUUGGUCCGACCGAGGCAAAGCUUACCCAUGAUGAGGCAUGUGGCCAGUUAAAGGGUCCUAGAUCAGCAGGCCAACAAUCGGAACGGUCCUUAAGCGACACAGACGAGCGACCUUUCCUGCUCAGUGUCUGGUCUAGAUUUAUUCCAACCAUUCUCCCAUUUUUGGUACCCGACAGGGGUACUUUUUCUGGAUGUUGAAUCCAUCAUGGCCAUAUGGAUUCACCAUCCCAAUUUCUUGUUCACAACAAUUUCCCAUAUCCCGUGUAACACAUCAUCUUUUUUUAAAAAGAACAACUUUUAAUUAUCUAAGCAGGGCUAAGCAUCUUUAGUUCUCUUUAUAAAAAGAGGAAUCAAGGAAGAUAAUCAAAUUCCAAGGAAUGGCAAUGCAUCAAUUGUUUCAUCACUCAACUCCUAUCACCUAAUGCAACAUAUAAGUGAUAAAAGUUUUAUAACAACAAGGAGGUGGCAAAUGCACCGGGGCUUGCCUGGGAUAACACUAAGUGUUGUUAGAUGAUGACCACUUGGUGAGCAUCUUCCAUCCUGGCACUUGAUCAGAUCAUCCAUUCCUCUGGUUUAUUCGUUAGCAUCACUUUGAGGUUAAUCCAACACUUUUCCUCCACAUCGUGCGAUCAAAUAACGUACCUAAUUGAUAUGCAUAAUGCAUAUGAGUGAGAAUAAUUAUAAACAAUACAAGAUAAUAACACUAUGCCGAAGAGGGUAAUAUAUUGCUAGUAAGGCAUUACAACUCCUAGGCAAACACUAGCUACCUUUGAAUUAACAACGAUCAUGAUCCUCGAGCUAGGGGGACCUAAUUCAAAUAUUUGGAAAUCAUAACUAAACAUAUGCCUUAAGCUAAAGCAUAACAUUGAUAGGUUAUUACCCUUAGACUUGUCACUUUUUAACACUCAAAACUUGGAAAAGGUGAUAGAACAAGCAUCAAGAAAGCAGUACACUAGAACUUAGGUUCACUAGUGAUAGUCACCUAAGACUUAGAUUAAAGAUAUGAGUAGCUUAACUAGUUUCCUAAACUUCUUUCUCAAAUUAACUUAUUGUAACACACCAACUAAUAAAUCAUCACAUUUCUAUUCAAUCACACAAGUAGAACACUUAUCAUACAACAUAAAGUUCCAUAGAAUUUACAUCCUCAACAAUUAAAGAUCUAAAGCAUACAAGAUGAAAUAUAAUAAGUGUUCCAUACUUUCCUUAGAUUACUGAGUAUAGCACCUUAAGCUUGGGACACUUGUUCACUUGAAUUUAGCAAGUACAAGACUUCACCAAUCAAGAACUAACUAAAUUUACUUAGUCAAACAAUAAGAAGGAAAUGAAUUAAUCAAAUAUAAUAAGGCAUUUCGAUAAACACUUCAUAUGCAACAAGUUGUCAUCAAUCAAGGGUAAAAAAAAAUGACUAAUCCAACCUAGCCAAACAAGAGCAACUUCAAGAAAUCCACUUAAUGCUUGCUGGUUUUGUACAGCAGAACAACAGCUAGUUGUUUUAUUUAUAACUUACACAAUAUUCAUCCAAAAAUAGUAAACUAAGACUUUUUGGAAAGCUUAUAAAGUCCUCUAAAAUUUUGGUAUUAUCAUCACAAUGAGAUUCGACAUUUAGAAAUGUCAAACAGUACUAAACGCAAUUUCUGUCCAGAUUUGGACAGAAUUCGACUACUUACUUCAUUAAUUCAUAACUAAAGUUUCAGACAUCCAAAUCAGGUGAUUCUAGACUUUUUAGAAAGCUAAUAGAAUUGUCUAUAAUUCAUUUAUAAUCAUCUCAAAGUGAUUCAAUGUGUAUCGAAGUCAGUUAAUACAAACAAACAUUGCUGUCCAGAUUUGGACAGAUUCAGACUCUAUAGUUUGAACAGCUGUAACUUGGUCUCUAGACCACCAAAAAUGGUGCUCCAAAAUUUGUUGGAAAGCUUAAGCAAAGUACUACAAUUCUCCUAUAAUUACUAAGAGCUUACUCUCAGUUUAACUUGGGCAAACAAGGUCAUUUUCGAAAUCUGUACAGAAUCUGGACAGAUUCUGAAACUAGACUUAGAAAAAUCAUAACUCCUAAACUACUGAACCUAUGGUCAUGAAAUUUUUACACAAGUAAGAUAAAGAAGUUAUCUACAAGUUUUAUAUAUAACACUUCUACAGAAAACAUGGUUUACUUCAUUGAACUAGCUGCGCAAUUAAAACUGUACCUGCUGCCCGAAACAGUAAAAAUUCAAUUUAACUCCUAUUUUGGUUAACCACAGCUUAACAACGCAUCAAUCAAAGCAUUCCUUGCCUAAACAGAACCAUCCUCUGUGUUUUAUAACAUCCAUUUAAUUAUACUUGACAUAUGUACUCUCUAAAACACUUCUCGUAAAAUUUGCACCUAAUACCUAAACUUCCCCUCAAACAACACUUCUACUAUCCAAUCAUGACGUCAAAAAAAUCAUGACACACAACCAAAUUAUUUCAUCAUACAUCAAACACAACCACAAUGAUAAUUAUCUAACCAAACCAUUUAUUAAUUAAAUAGCCACAGAAAUGACUUGGCUCACCACAUCAUGAUCCGACUUGAUUUUUCUUGCAAGAACGACGACAGUUCCUUGGUCUCCCAUUUCGUCGAACACCCGGCGGGCGUCAUAUUGGACUGUGCUUCUUCUCCACUAAAUCCUGGGAUUUCCCCUCACAUCUCACACAUAAGCACACACAUACUCACAAUCAACCACAAACCACAUAUAUCGAUUAAGGAGAUAAGUAGCAUAAGACAAAGGGACCUCACCGAUGACUAUGAAUUGCACAAGUCAACAACUAGGCAUCCAUGGAGGGAGGUGCUGCUGUUCCUAGCAGAGAGGGGCUGGGCGAGCUCCUGCAGAGGGGAGUACGCCGAGCAGGAGGAGCCACCAUGGGCGAGCUCACCAUGGGAGGAAGUGAGGGCGCAGCUAGCUGCCAUCAAUGGAGAGCUGGAGACGUCAUGUGCAGCUCACAUCAGGAAGGGAUGAGCGCCAUGCUGCUAGCAAGGGUAUAGGGGAUGGUGGCGAGCAGAGGGGCUAGGAGAUGAGAGGGCACGGUGGAGGGGAUGGGGGAUAGGCGGCCAUGGGAGAAGCCAGGGAAGACAACGGCAGCUGCUGCUCCACAACUGCAAUCAGAGAAGGAGACACCGUGUGGGGGAAGCAAGGGAGGACGGCAUGGUGGAGGUAGCCAGGGCAGAGCGCCGUGAGGAGAUGAAGCCUGGCUUCGGUCGGCUGGGAGAAUUCCAGAAGGAAGACCACGUGGGGGAGGAGGUGGCAGUCUAGGAAGAGAAUAAGAAUUCAAAUUUUUUGUUUCUCCAAAUUUUUCUUUUACAAAAGACUACAAAAUUUAACUCUGUUCUUAAGUGGGGAUUUUUAGUGAGAUGCAAAUGGACCAACCAAAAUAAUAUUGGUUAUAAGAUUUCAGACGUGGUUGAUUUGGUUAAAAUCAGUUGUACAUUCAUCUGAUCAAUAAAUUUUUAAACAGGCACCAGACUCGACAUAUCGCGAAAUAAAUACGCGGGAUCGAUGUAGCAUCGAAAUUGUGAUCCUUUCGGAAGCGACGUCACGCAUCAUUCACGGGGCGAGAAGCUGGGCGCUGUCCAGACACCGGUUAGCACCCGCCACACGCGUCACGGUGUCAGGCCACAGAGAGACACGUGCAACGCAAGCGUGAAAGAAUUUCAAAUGAAGUUUAAGAAGCUACUUUUGAUUUCAAAAAUUAUAGUUUAGGCAAGACGUCGAGGGCUCAACCCAAACGAUACUGGAUUCGAUGUUCCAAAGAUUACCAAAGGCUGAAUUUUAAAAGAAAUGGAUUUGGAAAAAUUUAGACAGACGGAGGCAGACACGAGAUCAAAAUCGUGAUAAACGAGGUUGAUUAAAAAUUAGUGUCCAAUUUAUUUACCGAUAUCCCGCGCUUAAAUCCAUAGUCGCUGUUGAACGGGAGACAAACACCUGGGGUGUUACAACCUUCCCCCUUAAAAGAAUCUCGUCCCGAGAUUCAGAACGAAAGACUUCUAAGAGUAGAGAGGCAUGUAACUCUUGUCCAUAUCAGUUAUAAUCAUAAGACAGUUCCAAGCAAAGGCGAGUGUCUCAGAAUGUUGUUUCUCUAGUGGACAUAUCAUGUAUAGCCUUACGCUAAUUUAGAGAUGUCCACCAAUAGAGACGAUGUCUGCCAGAAGAACACAUAAGGUUUCACGUGUGCAGUUUGUUUUUUUUCUGAUGACACUGUACUAUCUGAGUCUGUUGAGCAAGCGACAGAUAUGCGAUUUUACCCAAACAGAAUCAGAUGCAACCUCUUGGGUAGAAAUCCAUUUGGUCAGGUUGUUCAUCCGUUUCUUCCAUGCGAAAUGAACAGACUUGGUUCGGGAAUACAUGGAUAAAAUAAGAGAGCGAAUGAACAAACUCCUGCAUCUCAGCAGCUGGGAAAGUCAAUCUCCAUUUUGAGAGCUAACCAGUUGUUUUCCCACACUAAAAAGCUCCAAGGCUUCACCUUUACAAAAAGGACAUAAAGGGAACUUGUAUGAGUAGUCACUACCAAGAUCAAAAGAAAAGAGAUCACAUAUGAAAGUGGUAUGCUCGUUUGAUCCAACAGAGACGAUAAAUGUUGCUUGAUCACUUCACAAACAACAUAGAAAUUGUUUCAAGGAAGUAGUUUACGGAAGACAACAUAUCAGUGUAGUUCCACAAUGGAUCAUGACUAGAGACCUUGAUACCAGCAUCCGACGAGUAGCACAUCCCUGUGUGCGCAUUCAAAGGAGGCUCUCAGUUUCGCUGCGGCACCAUAAGUCCUUAAUCGUGACACCACUACCGAACUGACACCAAUAACAAUCUCACAUAGCAAAAAUAGAUUGUGCCAAGAUAACACAUUGACAUAGUCUCAUAAUGGAUUACAACUACUAACUGUGAUACCAGCGCGUGCCGAGUAGCACAACCAUGUGUGCGCACCCACAGAAGGCCCUCGAUUUCGUCGCAGCACCAUCGGUUUUAGUCAUAACACCAUUACUAGAUGUAACCAAUAAGAAAUCUCAUGCGGUACAAAUGGAUUGAGCAAGGGUGACAAUAUACAAUGAGAUACUCCACAUGUAAGAAUGAUUACAAGUAGAGAUCCAAAUAGAUCAUGGCCCGAUGAACUGAACAAGGCAUGGCCAUGACCUAAACUUAUUGGUGAGCGAGUACGAUGGGAGACUGAUACUUCAUCCCCAAGCAUAUUUCUAUGCCCAUCGCAGAAAUUACAAGGUCAAGGAUUAUUAUCUGAUUAGAUACGGAGGGAAAACAAUCAUAGGAUUAAGUUGGUAUGCCUUUGAUAGAUAUGAGAAAACCAAAGGCACCGAACUCAGUAAAAUGAUCGGACAUAUCUUUCCUAAGUUAGGUCGAUAAAGUCACAUGGCGGUCCAUAAAAACAGGCAAACUCGAUAAGGUACAUCAGCUUGCACCAACCGAACAAAGGUAUGUUUUAGGAUGAAAAUAGGACCAUAAGAGCUACAAGUUGGCUGUUAAGAUCAGGGGACUCGAGAUUAUUAUUUUUUUAAGUUUGAGUGCAUCUUAGGUCCAAUAAGGGGAUUACCUAAACAUCUAUUUAUAUGACCUUGAUCACAAAGUAACGAUGGAAAAAUUCAGACUCGUCCGCAUUUGGAAACUGGGGAAAAUUUCAGGGGAUUAACAUCGAUUUGGGUCAUGGCUCCUAGAUGAGGACAUGUCCAAAUUUUUAGUUUACACAAACAUACCACCAACAUUCUAUCAGCAGAAACACACCAGAACAAACACAAGUUAGACUAGCGGUCAAAUUAAGAAGAACCUCAGGCCACAUAAAAACAUGUCUAAAGGACACAUCAAACAAAGCUAGAAAUUACUUAUAGGACAGUAAUGCUUCACACAGUUUUCAGUUAUUUAUUAUCAGAAUAAAGAUGAGAAAAGCAUGUUCAUUUACAAUCACCUAUUAUUAGAAUAAAGGUGAGGGAAGCAUUUCUGUGCGCAAACAACAAACACAAUGCAACAAUCAAGAUGCAUGCUCGUCCUAUUCGUCCUCACGAAUUUUGCCAACUUAAUAUGGCAAUAGCGCUCUAUAUCGGUGGCAUAUCUACGUCUCUCUCGAUAUAUUGCUAGUCGUCAGCUACACAUACGAGUUCGAAGUUAGUGUACCUGUAGAAAAAUCCAUUACAGCCCAAUUCCCAAUGAUGCAAUUCACACAUGACAGUUUAUCACAGUUUAUACUCCAUAUAUUGCUAUAUGGAGGCCAGCUCCUCAUUAAGCGCCGAGCCACGCAUAGGCGCCGCUGCCACACUUUAACCACAGGGCAGCCCAUUGUGGUACAUUACCUUCUUACCUAAGCGUAGGUGUGUCGUUGCAAGUACAUUACACUUCUCAGUAUUCCCAUGUCUGUAUACCCAUACACAUCCAUGGGGUACUGAAUCCCAAAAAGUAAUUACUCCACUUCGCAGCCUUCAUAUAUACAUAUGUGUAACAUGUAUAUAAUCAAGCGCUUUUUAUGCUCUUCCCUAGACCGACGGUUGUUCGGUCAUGCUCUCACAUCUCACCUUACCUUGAGCGUCGAUCCAUUCAAAACUGAAUGACCUCAAAAAUAACAUUACACAUGUAUGCAUUACCCUUCCCAGAUUGUGGGUUAGUAUUCUGAACUAAGCCACCUAAUAGUCCUUAAUUUAGGGCUUAACAGAGGAUGUCGCUAGCAUUAUAGUUUUUCAAAUAUGUUUUUCAAAACCAAACAAUGUGUUUAGUUGAAAAUAGAUUUUUCAAAACCAAAAUUUUGUUUUAAAAAUACGUAUGUGACCGUAUCAUACUUAAUCAAGCUCCGAUGCCAGCUGUCGCAGAACCUCCCAAGUUAUCGGGCCCACAUGCACCUGUCCUUGUCUCAAAGACCUCAGACAGCUAUGCAUGUGCACCAAACAACUUAACAGGAUCUGUACGAGUGCCCCGAGGACCCCGGAUAAAUGACUUACCGCCAAGAUCGCAAGAUUAAGUAAACACAAAUCACACACCAAUAUUUGCAGCGAAAAUAAAUUAUUUAUUACAAAAUGGUUACAAGUUACAACAUUUACAAGUUAUAGCAAGAUUACAAUAUAUAUCAUCGGAGUUGGUUACAAAAGAAAUUGAUUCAAAAAGAUUACAAUUUGAAUGUAUAAAACAUUUAUAAGUUUUAAAAUACAUGCUAGCUUAAGUGACAAUCCUCAAUAAAGAAGCUAAAGAUGGGAUAUACUUAUAUAAGAAGGCCGAGCCCACCGGCACUUAGCAGCAUCCACAACAGAACAAAAUUAUAACCUGAAAAACAACAGGGAAUAAAACCCUGAGUACACAAUUACUCAGCAAGACUUACCCGACUAAAGAAAAGACUCUCAAGGGUAUGCUGGUUUAUUGGGAAUCAAGGUA